UCAAUAAGCGGAGGAAAAGAAACCAACAGGGAUUGCCCUAGUAACGGCGAGUGAAGCGGCAACAGCUCAAAUUUGAAAUCUGGCGCAAGCCCGAGUUGUAAUUUGUAGAGGAUGCUUCUGGGUAGCGGCCGUUCUAAGUUCCUUGGAACAGGACGUCAUAGAGGGUGAGAAUCCCGUAUGUGACCGGCGCGCACCCUCCACGUAGCUCCUUCGACGAGUCGAGUUGUUUGGGAAUGCAGCUCUAAAUGGGAGGUAAAUUUCUUCUAAAGCUAAAUACCGGCCAGAGACCGAUAGCGCACAAGUAGAGUGAUCGAAAGAUGAAAAGCACUUUGGAAAGAGAGUUAAAAAGCACGUGAAAUUGUUGAAAGGGAAGCGCUUGCAACCAGACUUCGUGGCGGUGUUCCGCCGGCCUCUUGGCCGGUCCACUCGCCGCCGCGAGGCCAACAUCGUCUGGGGCCGCCGGAUAAGACCGUAGGAAUGUGGCUCCCUCGGGAGUGUUAUAGCCUUCGGUGAUGCGGCGAGUCCCGGGCGAGGUCCGCGCUUCGGCAAGGAUGUUGGCGUAAUGGUUGCCAGCGGCCCGUCUUGAAACACGGACCAAGGAGUCUAACAUCUAUGCGAGUGUUCGGGUGUCAAACCCCUACGCGUAAUGAAAGUGAACGGAGGUGGGAGCUUCGGCGCACCAUCGACCGAUCCUGAUGUCCUCGGAUGGAUUUGAGUAAGAGCAUAGCUGUUGGGACCCGAAAGAUGGUGAACUAUGCCUGAAUAGGGUGAAGCCAGAGGAAACUCUGGUGGAGGCUCGCAGCGGUUCUGACGUGCAAAUCGAUCGUCAAAUUUGGGUAUAGGGGCGAAAGACUAAUCGAACCAU
rnacentral:rRNA from 1 species